UACGGGGGGGGCAAGCGUUGUUCGGAAUUACUGGGCGUAAAGGGCGCGUAGGCGGCCUGUUAAGUCACACGUGAAAUCCCUCGGCUCAACCGGGGAACUGCGUGUGAUACUGACGGGCUUGAAUUCGGGAGAGGGAUGUGGAAUUCCAGGUGUAGCGGUGAAAUGCGUAGAUAUCGGGAGGAACACCAGUGGCGAAGGCGGCUCUCUGGGCCUUUCCUGACGCUGAGACGCGAAAGCGUGGGGAGCGAACCGG
rnacentral:rRNA from 1 species